CGGCGAUCUGGGAGAACCCUGGAGGGGACCAGCUGCGACACCCACCGCGGGCGAGGGGACGGCGAGCCCCCGCUGCCUAAACAGAAAACGGAGGCGAUGAUCUGGGUCCCCAGAGCACCAUCACUUCUAAGACUGUGACCUGCUUACAGAUCCACUCCUCUGCCCCCACAGUCCACAUGUCCACCCUGGGGGCCAUGGCUUAUUGAUUCUUCCAUGUAUCAGCCCAAGAAUCCCCUGCUGCCUUCUGAAUAAAGGGUGCAAAUACACGAAGCCUGCUCACGAAUCAACAUAAAACUUGGCUUCCGAUCCCGCUUCCCUGCCUGUCUGCUUCCACACUUUUCACUCACGGACUUUCCUGCUCCCCCGGGCACCUUGUCUCCUUUUCCAUCUGUGCUGACCCUUUGGCUUAGUGACUCAGCUUUUGGAUUGGCCACUUGGCUGGGCCCUUGGUCCCUGCAAAACUGAGUUUCCUGUAUCUGUGCUCUGUCAACUCUGAGUCAGCCAAACAGCUGAGGUCAUUCUCUACUUGUCACCACCGAUGAGGACGGAGAGCCAACACCACCAGUCAGUCACCCAAGCUGGAAAUUUAAGCAUCAUCAUUUCUUCUUUUCCU
rnacentral:lncRNA from 1 species